AGCUUUGGUAAUUGGCAGUGUUAAAGCCAGUGAGGUUUAUCUGAGGUGCAAUUAUAGCUAAUUGAAAACUUUCUCCAAUACCCUGCCACGAUGACUUUAAAUAUAGUUGGGAUUGGCAAUUUUUGACGGUUUCUAUAGAAA
ensembl:snRNA LOC120096086 U4 spliceosomal RNA